AUGUCAACAUGAGCAAAUCUAGGUCUUCAAGAUAGAGCCUCACCUUUAAUAGAACAACUAACAUUCUUCCAUGAUCACGCUUUAUUAAUUUUAAUUAUAAUCACCGUUUUAGUAGGAUAUAUUAUAACUAUAUUAUUUUUUAACAAUUACACAAAUCGAUUUCUAUUACAUGGACAAACAAUUGAAAUAAUUUGAACAAUUCUUCCAGCUAUUGUUCUAUUAUUCAUUGCCUUCCCAUCUCUACGUUUAUUAUACCUUUUAGACGAAAUUAAUGAACCAAUUAUUACACUAAAAGCUAUUGGCCAUCAAUGAUACUGAAGUUAUGAAUAUUCUGAUUUUAUAGAUUUAGAAUUUGAUUCAUAUAUAAUUCCUACAAAUGAAUUACCAACAGAAGGAUUUCGACUUUUAGACGUAGACAACCGAGUUAUACUGCCUAUAAAUACCCAAAUCCGUAUUUUAAUUACUGCAGCAGACGUAAUCCACUCAUGAACCGUACCUAGACUAGGAGUUAAGGUUGAUGGAACCCCUGGACGUCUAAACCAAACCAACUUUAUUAUUAAUCGCCCGGGUCUUUAUUAUGGUCAAUGCUCUGAAAUUUGCGGAGCUAACCAUAGAUUUAUACCUAUUGUAAUUGAAAGUAUUCCUGUAGACAAUUUUAUUAAAUGAAUU
rnacentral:rRNA from 1 species